rnacentral:rRNA from 1 species
ACUCAAAUGAAUAGACGGGGACCCGCACAAGCAGCGGAGCGUGUGGUUUAAUUCGAGGCUACGCGAAGAACCUUACCAGGGAUUGACAUGACGGUAGUAGUGAAGCGAAAGCGGAACGACCCUUCGGGGAGCCGUCACAGGUGAUGCAUGGCUGUCGUCAGCUCGUGCCGUGAGGUGUUUGGUUAAGUCCACUAACGAGCGCAACCCCUAGUGCCAGUUACACGUGUCUGGCACGACUGCCGGUAUUAAGCCGGAGGAAGGUGGGGAUGACGUCAAGUCAGCAUGUCCUUUAUAUCCUGGGCUACACACACGCUACAAUGGCCGGUACAAUGGGUUGCCAAGCCGCGAGGCGGAGCCAAUCCUCAAAAGCCGGUCUCAGUUCGGAUUGCAGGCUGCAACUCGCCUGCAUGAAGUCGGAGUUGCUAGUAACCGCAGGACAGCUAUACUGCGGUGAAUACGUUCCCGGGUCUUGCACACACCGCCCGU